UGCCGUGAGGUGUUGGGUUAAGUCCCGCAACGAGCGCAACCCCUAUCCUUAGUUGCCACCAGGUAAUGCUGAGCACUCUAGGGAGACUGCCCGGGUUAACCGGGAGGAAGGUGGGGACGACGUCAAGUCAUCAUGGCCCUUACGCCUGGGGCUACACACGUACUACAAUGGUGCAUACAAAGGGUUGCGAUACCGUGAGGUGGAGCUAAUCCCAUAAAGUGCAUCCCAGUCCGGAUAGGAGUCUGCAACUCGACUCCUUGAAGUCGGAAUCGCUAGUAAUCCCGGAUCAGCAUGCCGGGUGAAUGCGUUCCCGGGCCUUGUACACACCGC
rnacentral:rRNA from 1 species